AUGAGCAACGUGUUCGGCGCCGGCGGCCAUGGCCGUGGUGACCAUGGCCAUGGAGGAGGGGGCGGAGGGGAGCAGCACGGGGGAGCCGACGGCACGCUGCUGUGCUACUUCCACCCGAGGGACCUGCUGGUCGGGGUCUGCGCGCACUGCCUCCGGGAGCGCCUGCUGCUGCUCCUCGCGGCCAAGCAGGGCGGCGGCACAGGCCGCGCGCGCCCGCCGGCCGACGGCGCCAGCUACCUGUCGGCGCGGCCCUACUGCCGGGCGCUCCGGCGCAGGACGGGCAGCAUCUCCAGCUCGCUCCCCAAGGUGUUCGCGCUCGGCUCCUUCCUCCAGCGCCUCGACUCCUCCCGCCACCACCACCCCCACCACCCCGACGAGGUCGUCCACGACCACGGCGGCGGUGGCCGUGGCGAGGACAGGGACAGGAACCCCGACGACGAUGACGACACCGCCUCCGUCGCGAGCCUCGACGAUUCCUUCAUAUCGAUCAAGUUCGAGGACAACGGCAAGGCGACGUGGGUGGACAGCCAGCAGACGUCCCUAAAGCCGGUGCGCGAGGCGACGACGGCGCCGACGACGAAGACCCUGGUGGUGGAGCAGGCGAGCCGGCGGGGCGGCGUGACGCGGUGGCGGAAGCAGGUGGUGGGGCGGCUGCUGCAGCUGGCGCGGUGGAAGCGGGCGUCGGGCAAGCAGCCGUCGUCCUCGGCGGCGGCGGACCAGCGGUCGAAGGCGCGGGGCGGCGGCGGGCGGAGCUGGAUCCGGAGCCUGACGCGGCGGCGCGCCGCGCACGGCGAGAGGGCGUGGUCGUGA
rnacentral:rRNA from 1 species